rnacentral:rRNA from 1 species
GACGAACGCUGGCGGCGUGCUUAACACAUGCAAGUCGAACGAGACUUCGGUCUAGUGGCGAACGGGUGAGUAACACGUGAGGAACCUGCCCCGAAGAUCGGGAUAACAGCGGGAAACCGCUGCUAAUACCGGAUAUCCCCGCCUGGGUCGCAUGGCCUGGCGAGGAAAUGGAUUCCGCUUCGGGAGGGCCUCGCGGCCUAUCAGCUUGUUGGUGGGGUAACGGCCUACCAAGGCAUCGACGGGUAGCUGGUCUGAGAGGACGAUCAGCCACACUGGGACUGAGACACGGCCCAGACUCCUACGGGAGGCAGCAGUGGGGAAUCUUGCGCAAUGGGCGAAAGCCUGACGCAGCAACGCCGCGUGCGGGAUGAAGGCCUUCGGGUUGUAAACCGCUUUCAGCAGGGACGAAAAUGACGGUACCUGCAGAAGAAGCCCCGGCUAACUACGUGCCAGCCGCCGCGGUAA